rnacentral:rRNA from 1 species
UUAAGCGACUAAGCGUACACGGUGGAUGCCCUGGCAGUCAGAGGCGAUGAAGGACGUGCUAAUCUGCGAUAAGCGUCGGUAAGGUGAUAUGAACCGUUAUAACCGGCGAUUUCCGAAUGGGGAAACCCAGUGUGUUUCGACACACUAUCAUUAACUGAAUCCAUAGGUUAAUGAGGCGAACCGGGGGAACUGAAACAUCUAAGUACCCCGAUGAAAAGAAAUCAACCGAGAUUCCCCCAGUAGCGGCGAGCGAACGGGGAGCAGCCCAGAGCCUGAAUCAGUGUGUGUGUUAGUGGAAGCGUCUGGAAAGGCGCGCGAUACAGGGUGACAGCCCCGUACACAAAAAUGCACAUGCUGUGAGCUCGAUGAGUAGGGCGGGACACGUGGUAUCCUGUCUGAAUAUGGGGGGACCAUCCUCCAAGGCUAAAUACUCCUGACUGACCGAUAGUGAACCAGUACCGUGAGGGAAAGGCGAAAAGAACCCCGGCGAGGGGAGUGAAAAAGAACCUGAAACCGUGUACGUACAAGCAGUGGGAGCACGCUUAGGCGUGUGACUGCGUACCUUUUGUAUAAUGGGUCAGCGACUUAUAUUCUGUAGCAAGGUUAACCGAAUAGGGGAGCCGAAGGGAAACCGAGUCUUAACUGGGCGUUAAGUUGCAGGGUAUAGACCCGAAACCCGGUGAUCUAGCCAUGGGCAGGUUGAAGGUUGGGUAACACUAACUGGAGGACCGAACCGACUAAUGUUGAAAAAUUAGCGGAUGACUUGUGGCUGGGGGUGAAAGGCCAAUCAAACCGGGAGAUAGCUGGUUCUCCCCGAAAGCUAUUUAGGUAGCGCCUCGUGAAUUCAUCUCCGGGGGUAGAGCACUGUUUCGGCAAGGGGGUCAUCCCGACUUACCAACCCGAUGCAAACUGCGAAUACCGGAGAAUGUUAUCACGGGAGACACACGGCGGGUGCUAACGUCCGUCGUGAAGAGGGAAACAACCCAGACCGCCAGCUAAGGUCCCAAAGUCAUGGUUAAGUGGGAAACGAUGUGGGAAGGCCCAGACAGCCAGGAUGUUGGCUUAGAAGCAGCCAUCAUUUAAAGAAAGCGUAAUAGCUCACUGGUCGAGUCGGCCUGCGCGGAAGAUGUAACGGGGCUAAACCAUGCACCGAAGCUGCGGCAGCGACACUAUGUGUUGUUGGGUAGGGGAGCGUUCUGUAAGCCUGUGAAGGUGUACUGUGAGGUAUGCUGGAGGUAUCAGAAGUGCGAAUGCUGACAUAAGUAACGAUAAAGCGGGUGAAAAGCCCGCUCGCCGGAAGACCAAGGGUUCCUGUCCAACGUUAAUCGGGGCAGGGUGAGUCGACCCCUAAGGCGAGGCCGAAAGGCGUAGUCGAUGGGAAACAGGUUAAUAUUCCUGUACUUGGUGUUACUGCGAAGGGGGGACGGAGAAGGCUAUGUUGGCCGGGCGACGGUUGUCCCGGUUUAAGCGUGUAGGCUGGUUUUCCAGGCAAAUCCGGAAAAUCAAGGCUGAGGCGUGAUGACGAGGCACUACGGUGCUGAAGCAACAAAUGCCCUGCUUCCAGGAAAAGCCUCUAAGCAUCAGGUAACAUCAAAUCGUACCCCAAACCGACACAGGUGGUCAGGUAGAGAAUACCAAGGCGCUUGAGAGAACUCGGGUGAAGGAACUAGGCAAAAUGGUGCCGUAACUUCGGGAGAAGGCACGCUGAUAUGUAGGUGAAGUCCCUCGCGGAUGGAGCUGAAAUCAGUCGAAGAUACCAGCUGGCUGCAACUGUUUAUUAAAAACACAGCACUGUGCAAACACGAAAGUGGACGUAUACGGUGUGACGCCUGCCCGGUGCCGGAAGGUUAAUUGAUGGGGUUAGCGCAAGCGAAGCUCUUGAUCGAAGCCCCGGUAAACGGCGGCCGUAACUAUAACGGUCCUAAGGUAGCGAAAUUCCUUGUCGGGUAAGUUCCGACCUGCACGAAUGGCGUAAUGAUGGCCAGGCUGUCUCCACCCGAGACUCAGUGAAAUUGAACUCGCUGUGAAGAUGCAGUGUACCCGCGGCAAGACGGAAAGACCCCGUGAACCUUUACUAUAGCUUGACACUGAACAUUGAGCCUUGAUGUGUAGGAUAGGUGGGAGGCUUUGAAGUGUGGACGCCAGUCUGCAUGGAGCCGACCUUGAAAUACCACCCUUUAAUGUUUGAUGUUCUAACGUUGACCCGUGAUCCGGGUUGCGGACAGUGUCUGGUGGGUAGUUUGACUGGGGCGGUCUCCUCCUAAAGAGUAACGGAGGAGCACGAAGGUUGGCUAAUCCUGGUCGGACAUCAGGAGGUUAGUGCAAUGGCAUAAGCCAGCUUGACUGCGAGCGUGACGGCGCGAGCAGGUGCGAAAGCAGGUCAUAGUGAUCCGGUGGUUCUGAAUGGAAGGGCCAUCGCUCAACGGAUAAAAGGUACUCCGGGGAUAACAGGCUGAUACCGCCCAAGAGUUCAUAUCGACGGCGGUGUUUGGCACCUCGAUGUCGGCUCAUCACAUCCUGGGGCUGAAGUAGGUCCCAAGGGUAUGGCUGUUCGCCAUUUAAAGUGGUACGCGAGCUGGGUUUAGAACGUCGUGAGACAGUUCGGUCCCUAUCUGCCGUGGGCGCUGGAGAACUGAGGGGGGCUGCUCCUAGUACGAGAGGACCGGAGUGGACGCAUCACUGGUGUUCGGGUUGUCAUGCCAAUGGCACUGCCCGGUAGCUAAAUGCGGAAGAGAUAAGUGCUGAAAGCAUCUAAGCACGAAACUUGCCCCGAGAUGAGUUCUCCCUGACUCCUUGAGAGUCCUGAAGGAACGUUGAAGACGACGACGUUGAUAGGCCGGGUGUGUAAGCGCAGCGAUGCGUUGAGCUAACCGGUACUAAUGAACCGUGAGGCUUAACCUU